rnacentral:rRNA from 1 species
GGUUAAGUCAGGCAACGAGCGAGACCCCCGCUUUUAGUUGCCAGCGGAUUCCAACGGAAUGCCGGGCACACUAACGGGACUGCCAUCGAUAAGAUGGAGGAAGGGGGGGGCAACGGCAGGUCAGUAUGCCCCGAAUGCCUCGGGCCACAUGCGGCCUGCAAUGGUAGGUACAGAGGGAUCCGACCUUGAAAAAGGAAGGCAAUCCCUAAACCCUGUCUCAGUCGGGAUUGAGGGCUGAAACUCGCCCUCAUGAACAUGGAAUCCCUAGUAACCGCGUGUCAUCAUCGCGCGGUGAAUACGUCCCUGCUCCUUGCACAAA